AACGAACGCUGGCGGCACGCUUAACACAUGCAAGUCGAACGCAGGUACGAUAGUUUACUAUUGUAUGCUGAGUGGCGAACGGGUGAGUAACACGUAGGAAUUUGCCUUAGAGUUUGGGAUAAGAUACCGGAUACGCUCUAAGUAAGUUUUCUGAAAAUGCAUCAAGUAUGUAUUUCUUAGAAAAUUUACUGGAGGAAAGAUUUAUCGCUCUGAGAGAAGCCUGCGCCGGAUUACGGUAGUUGGUGGGGUAAAGGCCUACCAAGCCUAUGAUCCGUAGCUGGUCUGAGAGGACGAUCAGCCACACAGGGAUUGAGAUACGGCCCUGACAUCAUAGUAUGGCAGCAGUGGGGAAUAUUGGACAAUGGGGAAACCUGAUCCAGCGAUGCCGCGUGAACGAAGAAGGUAUUAGUACUGUAAAGUUCUUUUACUCGUGAAGAUGAUGACGGUAGCGAGUGAAUAAGCACCGGCUAACUCUGUGCC
rnacentral:rRNA from 1 species